AACCAUUUUGAAUUCUCCACAGCAAGUGUGUGUAUUAAAUAGUAAAGAGUAAAAAUGAUCGUUAGAACCUGAGAAAAAAUAAUUUAUUAGGACCAGUGCACCAAGUUUAAGCUGGUACUGAUGUUUUUUUCUCUACUGACGAGUUUCUGGUUGGUGCAUGGCGGAGACUCUCUACAAAUGACGAACCUGGACAACGGCACUUUUCAACAGCAAACAAAACGAAGCUCAUCGCAGUAUAGCACCCCUUACACUAAUGAGAUUAGACAUCCAAUGGUUGAUGGUAAAGAAAUUCACAUCGAAGGAGCUGUUGGUAGAAAGGGCCGCAGGUUAUAACGGCUAUUUUAAAAAGGAAUGUACAUAUUAUUUAGCAAAAAUAAAAAUUUGAAUUCUAAAUGAAAUUGUCAUGUCUAAGUAGGCUAGAUUACAAAACGGUUUACGUUAAUUGCCUUAAGUAACAAGCUAUUAAUUACUCGGUAUCUAGGCAGAUAGUUAAACUUUGUAAGAUUUUUCAAACAUGUAUAAUCCUCUUAAUUGCCUAAAAGUCAAAAAAAAAGUUAACCAAAUCUCUAUCUAGAUUGAUUAUUGAACUGUGUGAAAAACAAAACUGUCUUGUGGACAUCGAAUUUCACGCCGAUAUUCGAUUUAAUACUAGGACACUCGUCAUGAAUUAUAAGAGAAACUUACAAUUUGGACAAGCAACUAUUAGAGAGGGAAUACCAUUGACAUCUGAAGGUCCAAUUCAAAUAAAAAUAGUAAUAAACCCCCAAGAAUUCAAGAUAUAUCUCAACAACUUACCGUAUACUUUUACAACUGUGGUUAGAUGGACAAAGUUAAAGUAUAUGAGGAUUCGUGGGACGCCUCAAAUUAAUUGGAUCUUGUAUUCAUACAACCAAC